AAUUAAGUUAUAUUUGUUUUGUUUAUUUUUUAAGAUUGUAUAACUAUCAUCUAGUUUCUUGUAAUCUAAUGUUGAUCCUGAAAGAAAAAUCCAUAAGAAUACGCAUAAAUGGAUAGUAAUAUUAGGAGAUAAACAUCAUUAGAACAUGAAGUAAUUUACUUAUGAAUCUCUAUCUAUUGUUCGAAAGAAUCGAUAUUCUAUAUUGAUUGUGAGGCAAUGUGAAUGUAUGCAUAACAUUUAUAAUUAUAAGAGAUAGAUUGUAUGCAAAAUUAGAUUUUAAUUUGGAUUCAAUCUUAGCUUUACUGAAAAAACUAAGAUUAUACACUUGUAGUUUGAUUGUUAAUUUAAGAGUUUCACCUGUAGUAUACUAUCUUGUAUUAAUAUCGAUCUAAACCCGUCAAUUUUAGGAUUUUCCAGCUUGUUAAAAAUUGAAUCACAUCAUACACAUUAAAAAUCUAAUAUCCUAUUAAUUAUUGUAGUAUAUAAGAUUAUAAAUUUUCAAUAUAAUAUGUAUGAAAUUGAAUAUAAAUAUUUCAAAUUAUGACCUGUUACUCAGUAGAAAGUUUUCUUAAAUCUAUUUUCACCCGUUAUAAUAUUUUUUCAUGUAUUGAACAGUUUAUAUUCGUUUUUAAAAAUUUAAAUUAUGGCAUAUGCGAAAAAACUCUAAUUAUUUUUUUAUAAUGAUGAUAUUAUUUUUUCGCAAAAAUAGAAUCAUAUAAAGAUGAGAAGU
rnacentral:sRNA from 1 species